GACGAACGCUGGCGGCGUGCCUAAUACAUGCAAGUCGAGCGAAUGACGAGAAGCUUGCUUCUCUGAUUUAGCGGCGGACGGGUGAGUAACACGUGGGCAACCUGCCCUACAGAUCGGGAUAACUCAGGGAAACCUGGGCUAAUACCGGAUAAUCCUUCGAAUCACAUGUUUUGAAGUUGAAAGGCGCUUCGGCGUCACUGUAGGAUGGGCCCGCGGUGCAUUAGCUAGUUGGUGGGGUAACGGCCUACCAAGGCAACGAUGCAUAGCCGACCUGAGAGGGUGAUCGGCCACAUUGGGACUGAGACACGGCCCAAACUCCUACGGGAGGCAGCAGUGGGGAAUCUUCCACAAUGGACGAAAGUCUGAUGGAGCAACGCCGCGUGAGUGAUGAAGGUUUUCGGAUCGUAAAACUCUGUUGUAAGGGAAGAACAAGUACGUUAGGAAAUGAACGUACCUUGACGGUACCUUAUUAGAAAGCCACGGCUAACUACGUGCCAGCAGCCGCGGUAA
rnacentral:rRNA from 1 species